AGGAGUUUGAGUCCCUGGCUCAAGAUUGAAACGCUGGGCGGAAAUGCUUUUACACAUGCAAAGUCGAAACGGCAAGCACGGAACUUUCGGUUCUGGUGGCGAAGUGGCGAAACGGGUGAAGUAAACAUUUUCGGAAACGUAUUCCAAUAAAUGGGGGAUAAACUAUUCGAAAAGGUUGGCUAUUACCGCAUUACGCCCUACGGGGGAAAAGCGGGGGAUUUACGGACCUUGCGUUGGUGGAGCGGCUGAUAUCUGAUUAGCUAGUUGGUGGGGUAAAGGCUCACCAAGGCGACGAUCAGUAGCUGGUCUGAGAGGACGACCGGCCACACUGGGACUGGGACACGGUCCAGACUCCUACGGGGGGCAGCAGUGGGGGAUUUUGGACGAUGGGCGCAAGCCUGAUCCAGCCAUUCCGCGUGAGUGAAGAAGGCCUUCGGGUUGUAAAGCUUUUCGCAAGGGAAGAACACUUACUUUCUAAUAAAGAGUGAG
rnacentral:rRNA from 1 species